rnacentral:rRNA from 1 species
AGUGAACGCUGGCGGUAGGCCUAACACAUGCAAGUCGAACGGCAGCACAGUAAGAGCUUGCUCUUACGGGUGGCGAGUGGCGGACGGGUGAGGAAUACAUCGGAAUCUACUUUUUCGUGGGGGAUAACGUAGGGAAACUUACGCUAAUACCGCAUACGACCUACGGGUGAAAGCAGGGGAUCUUCGGACCUUGCGCGAUUGAAUGAGCCGAUGUCGGAUUAGCUAGUUGGCGGGGUAAAGGCCCACCAAGGCGACGAUCCGUAGCUGGUCUGAGAGGAUGAUCAGCCACACUGGAACGGAGACACGGUCCAGACUCCUACGGGAGGCGGCAGUGGGGAAUAUUGGACAAUGGGCGCAAGCCUGAUCCAGCCAUACCGCGUGGGUGAAGAAGGCCUUCGGGUUGUAAAGCCCUUUUGUUGGGAAAGAAAAGCAGCAGGUUAAUACCCCGCUGUUCUGACGGUACCCAAAGAAUAAGCACCGGCUAACUUCGUG